rnacentral:lncRNA from 1 species
UAAAGAUCUUCAAAUUCACACUGAUGUUAAACAAUGUUACUUCCUAUGUGUCUGUAGUUACCGUCAUUGUUUUGCUUUGCCACUAAAAGUACACAGAGCGAAUCAAGAAGAACCCCAAUGAGAUGCAUCAAGUACGUUGAAAAUAUUUCUACACUUUUGUUUGUUUUUAUUUGAGAUUAUCAUAAUUAUAUUUCUUUGCCUCCUAGCUAAACGCUUCUAUUGACUUUAAAACAUUAUACUAUUGUACACAAAUUCAUAACUUCAAGCACUAUUUCAUAGGUUUUCUAAUGCUUUUGUGCUUUAUUUUCUCUUUUAAAUUAGGUUCCUUGCUUCAAUCUAAUCCUUUUCCAUAUUCUUUGACUUCGAUGUUAAGACGGAGUUAGUUUUCACUUCUUACAUUUCCUGCCGGAGUUUGCACGAAA